rnacentral:rRNA from 1 species
UAGGGAAUCUUCCGCAAUGGGCGAAAGCUUGACGGAGCAACGCCGCGUGAGUGAUGAAGGUCUUCGGAUCGUAAAACUCUGUUAUUAGGGAAGAACAAAUGUGUAAGUAACUAUGCACGUCUUGACGGUACCUAAUCAGAAAGCCACGGCUAACUACGUGCCAGCAGCCGCGGUAAUACGUAGGUGGCAAGCGUUAUCCGGAAUUAUUGGGCGUAAAGCGCGCGUAGGCGGUUUUUUAAGUCUGAUGUGAAAGCCCACGGCUCAACCGUGGAGGGUCAUUGGAAACUGGAAAACUUGAGUGCAGAAGAGGAAAGUGGAAUUCAAUGUGUAGCGGUGAAAUGCGCAGAGAUAUGGAGGAACACCAGUGGCGAAGGCGACUUUCUGGUCUGUAACUGACGCUGAUGUGCGAAAGCGUGGGGAUCAAACAGG